rnacentral:rRNA from 1 species
AUUGAACGCUGGCGGCAGGCCUAACACAUGCAAGUCGAACGAGUGGCGGACGGGUGAGUAAUGUUUGGGAAACUGCCCGAUGGAGGGGGAUAACUACUGGAAAAGGUAGCUAAUACCGCAUACCAUCGGAUGUGCCACGAUGGGUUUAGCUAGUAGGUGGGGUAACGGCUCACCUAGGCGACGAUCCCUAGCUGGUCUGAGAGGAUGACCAGCCACACUGGAACUGAGACACGCUCCAGACUCCUACGUGAGUCAGCAGUGGGGAAUAUUGCACAAUGGGCGCAAGCCUGGUGCAGCCAUGCCGCGUGUAUGAAGAAGGCCUUCGGGUUGUAAAGUACUUUCAGCGAGGAGGCGUUACUCGCAGAAGAAGCACCGGCUAACUCCGUGCCAGCCGCCGCGGUAAUAC